UUUGGUCUCUGCCUUUAUUGAUAACCCAGGAUCCCUUUCUAAUUUGUGUAGCAACCUGUAUUGGUGUGACCCACCAAAAGCCGAAGGAGUUAUUAUCAGCCUCGGCCCCGUGAGUUGUUCCAUAGGAAUAAGACAUGGUAUAACACUGAGUCUUUAUCCACAAACAUGAGACAUUCCCAGGCAUGUGGUUUACUUUGCCACCUAACCUCUGUGGCACGUGGAUUGCAGUUACAGCAGCUACAGCAAUGCUGGUAGCUAAAAACACAGAAGCGGUUCCGAUAGAGGUCUCGGGAGCAAAACACAAGCCGGUCUUCUACGGAAACAGAAAGGAAAAGAAUUACGGAGGGGAAGAGAAAAACUAAUUAAAGACAGGCCAGAAGAGCCAGAGCAUGUGAAAGAAGCUAAAAGAGGCAGCUGUGAGAGGAACCGCAAGCGCUCAGUCAUCUGCGGAAGCAACCGCUGACAGUCUGGGUCACGUUGCUGGAGCAGCCAUUAGGGAAGAGCGUGACAGUGCGGCGCCGCGCGGCGCAAGGACGGUUUGGCUGUGACGCAUGCUCUCCCCCCUCUCGACCCCCCCUCUCCGCGGCGCCAGAAAUCCAGGCUUCUAUAACUUGUAAGAUGGCGGCGUCCACACGUAUGCUUCCUUCCCGGGACUAGCAAGGCAGCUAGAGGAUGACUUAAUGAGAGUGGAGAAACUGGCCAGUUAAUGAACGUGCCCUGUUCAAGAUGUCCAACUUCCCAGCUGCUGCUCCAGCUACCGUGCCUGCCGCCUGCCGCCUCCCGCCUCCCCUGCAUCAUGGAACUUUCCCAGGUCCAGGCCUGAGGCAGUCGGGGCUGAACCAUGACCCAUAUACAAAACACAAGACGCAGGAAGAGAGAAUGAUAGCUUUCGAGUUCUCUAAUUAUCAAAUCGUUGAUUGAAAAAACGUAAAUCGGCUCUUGCUCUCUUGCUCUUCCCCUCUUUCCCCUUUGUUCCUUCUCUCCCCAUUCCCCUCCCCACUUCUUUCCACAUGCUCAUGGCCGGCCUCUACCCCUCUACUCCUCUCCUUUUCUACUCUACUCUCUCUCUCUCUCUCUCUGCCCUACUACCCUCUUAACUCCCCUCCGCAUACCCUGAAUAAAUUCUAUUCUAUACAAAAAAAAAAAAAAAAAAGAAAAGAAAGAAAAAAAGAAAAAAGAAAAGAAAAGACAUAAAUCAUGAAAGUGGAAGGCAGGGGCCACCCUCACCCCAACCCCACCCCUGCACAGCCCUGUGGCACUUUCCUCUUACCUGGGACUGCUUACAGCAGAUGGUAGGGAACAGAGGGAAUGAGAGGCUUGGGGAACUUUCUCCCACCCUGUUAGAAUUCCACUUAGAUGCCUCCACACAGGGACUGGGACUGACUGAGUAAGAAUCAAGCAACAAAGGAACACUCUGGGAGUUUUUUGUUUUCUCUGGGCAACCUGAUAGAGCCUAAGGAUUCAGAUCCCUAACAAGACAGCACAGUCUUAAUCAGAGGUGGUGUGGGGUUGGGUGGUUCUCACACCGGAGAAAUCCACUAGGUAAAUAGAACAGACAGAAACAUAUAGAAAGAGACACACAAUAAAGACAACAAGGGGUAGCCACCACAAACUCACAUACCUUAAUAGAACAGGAGAAUCCAGUUGUGUCUCACACGGAGUCUGGACACUGGAUCAGUGGCUGUAGCUGGCCUCUCCUUUAUGUCCUGAACAGAAGGCACUUUAACCAGACUUACCUCAGUAGGUGACAGACUAGAUGAUUCUUACUGAAGGAACUUUAGACAGGAAUGUAGGAUGCACUGAGAUCUUCUCUCCCAGAGCCCUGGAAAGUUUCAGGUUUUGUACCCCCUAGGGGAGAGUCUGCAGGCACUGUGGUCCAUAGCCUGUGGUGGUCAAACUGGUGAGAUUCUCAAAGGGAUCUCAGUGGAACUUCCAUUGUUGAUAGGUAGACACCCAAAAACCAUUUAUAUGACCAAAGUAUGAAUUGAAAGUUUGUAUUAAGUCAUCUAGAAAUUGCCUGGAGAGAAAAGCAGCCUCAAAUGCAUUUUAUAGGAAACUUUUAAAGGCAAAGACUAGGAAAACUACAUCUUGGUUGUCAGGGGAAAGGUAAAACAAGCAGGUUAGCAGAACCAACAAUAUGCAGUAAGCUGGGAUUUUGACCCUGAAUUUCUGGAACAAGUUUGGAGACUUUCCCAUAGUACUUACCGUGGUGGGGGUAGAAAAGUAGGGAAGUCAGUUACAGGUAAACCAAAGAUGGUUCCAAUUGAGACAAGAUGGAGGAACCUUUCCCCUGUCAUAAUUUCAGUUAACCUAUGAGUAUAGUUGGUAGUCCCUGAAGAAUCUUUGUAUGAAGAAAACUCUCAGAAGUUUUCUUUUCAGAAAUGAAGUACAAUUUGACUACCUGCAUCACACAUAUUCCCCUUUAUGUGAUUGCAUCAUAGUGAGGGCUAGCCAAUUUACCAUGCCAUUUCACUGGUGACCUCUGGAUGAUCUGCUAUACUUUUAAGAGGUAUAGGUAUCCGUGUGUAAUUUAAAAAUCUUUGUUGAGUUUAGAAUGCAUGCAUCCUUUAUCCAUUCUACAUUUUUAUUUAUGGUAGAUUACUGAUCCAAAUCCUAUUGCAAUUUGGUUUCUAGUAUUAAACUGAUUAUUAGCCCCUCUUGAACUCCAGUAGAAACUAUAGAAUCCCCCUGAGCUCCAGUGGAAUCUAUAGAAACAUGAGGGUCAAUGACAUUGCUGUUUUGGAUGAAAUCAUUGAGGUUGGCCUUGGUACACUGACAAUGUGUGGUAGUGAAAGGGAUAGCCAAUUGAACCAUAGUGUAGGUUCUGCUCCGCUUGGUUGGCAAGAUUUUUAAGUUAUGGUUCACCAUAUGUGUCCUCUGACAAUGCUCAGGCUAGUGUGGUGUCCCAUCUCCUCAAAGGCAGAGAGGUUCUUACAUUCAGAUGCAUUUUGCGAGAAUUCCAGCUCAUCUGCCCAUCUUAGAAGACAGGAGAUGUAAUUGCUUCCUAUCAAGGAAGGUUAACGAGUGAGGAGACAGUCUUUGGCUCAGUCUCUCCAUGGUUGGAAAGAAAAGGGACAUGGAUUUAGAAGACAGGUUUCCCUAAGCCAUCUCAUCUUGGAAGGGGACAACCCUGUAGCUCAUUCCUCAGGUGUCUGGUGUCACCUGAGCAAGAAUGAGAUCCCUUAAACUUCUGGCCUCCCUGCCACAGAAGAAUGACAAUAGUGUCUGAAUAGUGACAGAACAUUUGAUCCAUUCCAACCAGAUACUCAUCUUGAAACACCCAGUUUCAACCCCUAUUGUCUGUUUUAAAUCUUAAAACUUGGAACUAUUUGUACCUUUUUGGGUGUUCCUUAGUAAUCUCUAGUUUAGAGGUAGGGCUACAUUGAGUAACUAAACAACAGAAAAAUGUCCCCAGGGUCUCUCUUCAUUUCCCAAAUAAAGCUCAUAGACAUGUAGGCCACAUAUUCCAGUGAUGAAUGAACGAAUCCUGGGAAGUUAUACAGAGGGUCCUUACAGCUUCCGGGAACACUGCCCUUCACUAUUCAGAUUUUUCUAAGGGAUGUGCCUCGAGGCUUGGGGUCCUUUAGUGGGACUGUCCCUUGGCAGUAUAGAGUGUCAUAUAUCACCAAACUUAUGGUAUGGAGGAGAUCCAUGGGAGGAAAAUUCAGUACAUGUCGCAGACCACCCAGGGGAGUGUGUCAGCAGAGGGACCAAGGCUUGGAUUUCAGGUAGAGAACAGAUUUGGUGUGACAGACAGACACAAACUUGAGGUGUGUGCUGCUGCAAAAAGCUUUACUUUUUGGCAUAGAUUUAAGCAGUUAGAACAGGUAAAUCAUAAUUGGCUGUCAUCCAGCUCUUAUUCAUCACCCUACCAAAUGUCUCUUGCAAGGAGGAAAGCAGAACGUACAAUCUAGGAAAGAAUUUUUAGCCUCAAACAAUAGUUUAGAAAACUGUAGUUAUACUGUCAGAUUUGUGGGCACCAGGUAUGUAUUCAUCAUUUACCUUUGUUUUAAUAAUUUUAAACUCUAUAUUUAUGGCCCCUCAGAAUAGUAAGGAAACUUUUGUAACCAUAGUUAACUCUUUUUUUUUUCUUUUCUUUUUUUCGGAGCUGGGGACCGAACCCAGGGCCUUGCGCUUCCUAGGUAAGCGCUCUACCACUGAGCUAAAUCCCCAGCCCCAUAGUUAACUCUUGAUAAGUUUGUUCAACUUGUUGGAACUUGUCUAUGAUCUUUUUAAAAGAAUCGUUACUGUUUUGAAUCAUGUUAAAUAAAACUUAUCUAAAAGGGGGGAAAGGCUUUUCUGGAACAGUCAUGUUGUUAGUAACUGCAAUUAAUUUCUCUCCUAUUUACUGGGAGCUAAUGGAUAUAGCAUUUGUAUUCAUCGCAGCUGUUGAGUUCAUCAGGAUCAUGGUGGUGUGAGACGGUUCCGUCUCUGAACUUUCAGUUCCUGAGACAUCUAAAGGUACAUGACCAUCUUCCCACACUGCUAUAUUCUUAAAAUCAGAUAUUGCUGACAGGCUUAAAAUUGCUAAGAUCACCAAGGCUAGAACACAGAAGGCACCUCCACCACAGGCAUAGACCCUGGUCAUCAUCUAUUUGUAGGGAGACGGCCAGGACCUCCAGGAGGCCGAGCCAUUCCAGGCACAGGCCUCUGUUCUGGAUAGAAACGAAGCACAAGAGCUUCAGGUCACACAGACUCCACUGGAGUGGGUGUGGCAAGGACACAUAUAUUUGUCAAUCCAAGAAAGUUCUUUUCCAUAGGGUAAGAAAGCCAUUUCUCUACUUGGACUUUAACUGUUUCCUUGUUUGUUUGCUUUUAGUCUGAGAGUUAGGAAAAAGUUUCAUUCCAGCACAAGAGUCAGUGAGCUUGAAGUGAAGGAAUAAUUUCUGAAAACAAGAAAAGGUAGAAAGGAAAGUAUAGGAAGAGCCACAAAUUUUCAUAUCCUAACCCUGUAAUUCCAUUCGUAUAUGACAAAGACUUAUGUUCUAGGUAGGAUGGAGAGAAAUAUGUAGCCCCAAAGUUAGCCAGAAAAGUAAUUUCUUUUUUUUUUUUUUUUGGUUCUUUUUUUCGGAGCUGGGGACCGAACCCAGGGCCUUGCGCUUCCUAGGUAAGCGCUCUACCACUGAGCUAAAUCCCCAACCCCAAUUUCUUUUCCCAAUAAAUCCACACUCAAAUCUUUUGUAACUUUCUUACUAUGUAUGGUCGACUUAAAAAAUGUUUAAUACAGUUUACAUGUAAGGGUGUUUUGUGUUCAUAUAUGUCUGUGCACCACAUUCGUAUGAAUGCCUGAUGGGGUCAGGAUCCAACUUCUGAGCAAGGGGGAAGAUAAAAGACAUGCGAGCAAUAAGAAUAACCUCUCAGAUAGGCCUCUGGCACACACGCUCCAGUCAUGGGAAGAUGAUGCUUGAACAAAAGGAAGCAGAUGCCUCUGAUGGAGAGGGCUCAGUGAUAUAGAGCAACAGAUCAAUUGCAUCAAUUUCUGGGCCCCAACUCUAUACUUAGCCCAAGCUGAUGUCUUUCUAGUUAUGAGAUGUCUUUCUAGUGAUGAGAGCUCCAAUAAUAAUAGUGAUAAUAGUGAUAUAUGUGACAAGGCUGAAGAGAUGGACCAGUUUAAGAGCACCAGCUGUUCUUCCAGAGGACUUAGGCUUAAUUCCCAGCACCCACAUGACAGGUCAAAAGUGUCUCAACUCCCAUUCCUUUUGCUAGAAGAAGGACCCGGUUUCCCCACAUCUUGUUUUGUGUUUAGAGGCUUAACCUCCUUUUUCUUUCUUCCUAUCAUGAAAACUCUCGGAAAGCUCCAUAGGGGCUUUUCUUGGCUACUGGUUGGUCACCAUAACUCCAGAUGAAGAAGAUCCUGGACAGAGUCCAUAUACAUCACCUUAUGCCAUAUGAGGGUGUGAUUAGAUCAGCACUCACAUAGAUUUCACAUGGAAGUUUCUGGUACUCUAGCUAAAUUGUUUCCUUUGUCUCUGAGCAGGCCCUCCCUUCUUAGGAAGGUAGAACCUUGGAUUGAGAGUCCAUAGACAUGCUGGACAUGAUGGCGCAUGCCUUUAAUCCCAGCACUUGGACAACAGAGGCAGGCAGAUCUCUGAGUUCGAAGUUAGCUUGGUCUACAGAGUGAGUUUCAGGACACCCAGAACUAUACAGUCUUGAAAAACAGCAAGAACAACAACGACGACGACAAAUCUUUAAUAUGCCUAGAACUGUGUUUAUAGUCAUGCUAAAUAUAAAUUUAAUUUAGUUAUGAAAACAAGAUUGAGGAAGAGGCCAGUUUAUAUGUUCCAUUUUUUUUAUAGUCUUUUGUGUAUGGUGUCAAAGUUAAGCCUAAACCAGGUAAAUCAAAGUAAAUUUGGAAAAAAAAGCUUAAAAUUUCUAAUAUAAAAUAAUAUUUAAAACCAAGGUAUUUUAAACAAACAAAAAACCCUGUAAAAUUAAUGUCUGGUUAUGAAGAAUUAUUCAGAAACAAAACAGGGUAAAAUUCACAUAACAUUCCAAAAAAUGAUUGGUUGGUAUACAUGUUUGGCAGGACAUCUCUAGAUUCUUUUCCCUUGGAUGAACAUAGACGUCCUCAGAGUAAGCUGCAUGCUAAGCGCCAACACAGAAUAAAGGCACAUGGACAAAUAAGAUCUGGUAGAGUCUAUUAGUUCUGUCUCCAGGUAUGUAGGCAAGGUCAGAGAAGCAUCUCCUUUUCUUUUCUUUCUUUUUUUAAAAAAAGAUUUAUUUAUUUUAUUUAUACAAGUACAUUGUAGCUGUCUUCAUGCACAGGAGAAGAGGGCAUCAGAUCCCAUUACAGAUGGUUGUGAGCCACCAAGUGGUUACUGGGAAUUGAACUCAGGACCUCUGGAAGAGCAGUUAAUGCUCUUAACCACUGAGUCAUCUCUCCAGCCCCAGCAUCUCCUUUUCUACAAGGAACAUGGAUUGCUUAUGAUGUCUCACAUUACAAGAGAAUGGACUCUCCUGCCCAUGGGAGAAUCCUGGAGUCUGUACACACAUCCUAAAUGUCUUGAGCAAUGGAAAGGUAAGUAGCAAUUACUCUACACUCAAUGUCUCAAAAACAGGCAUCUGAUGAAGAUAUAAACAGAAGGACCUUGAACCUAAGCCAAUCAUCUGUUAUGGGACCUGCAUACUAAUGCUAUUGGCUGUGCCCUUUAUCAUGGUCCCCAGUUCUCUUCCUUGCAGCAAAGUUAUUCCCAGGGAUGAGAAGCUAAUACCUGAUUCUACCAAGAAUCCCUAGGGAUUUUCUAAAUAAAUAUAACACUAAAUUUCUACUGUAAGGUCAUAUAUACCAGUCAAUACAGGUACCUAUAUACAUAUACCAUAGGAUCAGUUGGAACAGCAGACUGAACUAUGGAUACUCAUUCUAAUACUAAGGUUCAUGUGUCGUCUCAUGGAUCCAACAUACCUGGUUAAAGAAAACAACAUCACCUGCGAGACCUGCACUGUAGAAGUUCAUCCAGACCAGCCCCUCUGGAUCACCUUCCAGAAAAUUCCCCAGGGGACAUUUGGAGAUGGGGAUCACAGUGCCCCCUUCUCCCCUUUGGAUACAUGGCACUGUUGGCAAUAAUACUUUCCAUAGCUGUCACAACGCCCGGGAAUUGGAGCCAGGCACAAAACUAUGUUACCUUGCUAUAGCAGAAAAUGACAGGUACUCUGGGCAAUUGUUUCGUUGUUUUAGUGACUUACAGUCUGUCCUUGUUGAAGAAUCUGAGCAAUACCUUUACCCAGGACUUUCCUCUGGGUCAUUCUUGGUUUAUUACUUGGGCCUAGUGUUCUAAACUGGCUAACUCAAUUUCUUAAAGAAGUUUCGGGUCAGAUUGAUGCCGUUCAAAAUCAACUUUUACCGCUUUGUGAGGUCUGGUCCUCUUCUUGACUGAUACUCAUGGAAGAAUUUGUCCUCUCUCCUACAGGAACAAUAUUGUUUCUAUACCAACAGAUCAAAAUCAGUUCUGAUCAUGGUUCAGAGACUUAAGAGACCAGGCAUUAGAAAAGAAAGAAAGAAAGAAAGAAAGAAAGAAAGAAAGAAAGAAAGAAACAAAGAAAGAAAGAAACAAAGAAAGAAAGAAAGAAAAGAGUCUCUUCCUCUGCGUGGGCUCUUGGUAUUCGUCCAUCCUGGUUCCUCCUCCUACUGAUCAUUCUUUUUAUCCUUUCUCCUUAUCCUCACAUUUACAUCUUUACCUUGUCUUUUAGAAAUUUUCCUGGGUUGGGGAUUUAGCUCAGUGGUAGAGCGCUUGCCUAGGAAGCGCAAGGCCCUGGGUUUGGUCCUCAGCUCCGAAAAAAAGAACCAAAAAAAAAAAAAAGAAAUUUUCCUGAGGCCCCUCUUGGCUCCUCUUAGUGUUGUCAGUCAUCAUAUAAGAUGAAGUCAAAACAAUACUUUUCUUAGAAUGACUCCAGCACCCCCCCCCCAAAUAACCUGGACUAAUUCUCCAUCCACCAGCAGGAAUUAGUCAGAGAAGUAUGCCCCCUCUCUUUUAUAUAUAAAGGGUCUAGAAUAAAGUACCUCCCACUUCCCAAAAGAUAAGACCACAAAACUGAGCUUUAAGUUCCAGGAAGCCGGCUAUUUGGGGUUUGCAGAAGAAAGGCAGCUGAUCUUGACCCCAGACACCCAGUGGUUACAGAGAGACAUCAGACACAGCAGAUUCAAAAAAAGGCUUGUCUAAGGAAAACAGCUAACUUGCUCAUUCAGCCAGUAAUGAAAUCUCCUUCCCCCUCAGUAGCCUUAGCUAGAAAAACCCCAGCUUUUUUUUUUUUUUAGAAAACCCCAUGUACACUGUUUUCUUGAACUGUGGGUCACUGAGUGACUGGGUCCUGUCCCUUGACCACAUGAUCAGAACUUGAGAUGCUAUACCUCUGGUAGGAAAUAAAGCCUGCCCUAGCUGUUCGAGGUUCUCUACAUUUUCAACUUUUAUUCCUUCCUAUAAACUUCAUUCUUACUUACCCUUAAGUUUUUUGUUUCACUUUUUGUUUUUUGAGACAGGGUCUCUCUGUGUACCUCUGGCUGUCCUGUAACUCACUCUGUAGACCAGGCUGGCCUCAAACUCACAGAGAUCUGACUGCCUCUGCUUCCUGAGUGCUGGGAUUAAAGGUGUGCACCAGCACUGCCCAGCUCCUUAAAUGUUGUAUCCAUAAUAGCUGUGCUUUGGAUUCGGAAUGGUUAACUUUAUUAAGUAUGCAGCAAGCAGGAGUAAUAGAGCAAAAGAACAAGCAGCAGGGUCAUCAGGUCCCGGGCUUCUAACACCAUCAGAAAGGCACUCGGAAACCUUGGUCUUUCCUCCCUCUAGAGUCUAGGUCUUCUUCCCAAAUUGGAUGGAGAUACCCAGAAAUGACUAGACAGUACUUUCUACUAUAGCAUUUCAGCAGAAGAAAUGGUUUCAUAGCCACGGAACGAAAUAGAGGCCAGGUAGAGGUUGUGUCUGCCUUUGAUCCCAGCACUUGAGGUCAACCUGGUCUACAGAGUGAGUUCCAAGACAACCAGGGCUACACAGAGAAACCCUAUCUCCAGAGAGAGAGAGAGAGAGAGAGAGAGAGAGAGAGAGAGAGAGAGAGAGAAACGAACUAGAGUCUGCAUGUUCUUCAGAAAAUGGUCAAACACAGGAGCAAGCCUACUCUUAACUGAGAUAAAACUACGUGCUAUAAAAGCCAGAUCACACCUAGUACUCCUCACAAGAGCUCAAGGAGAGAUAUUAGGUCAAGGCUUUGAGAGGAACAAAUUCUCAACGGAAGGAACUGACUAAGCGAUCAUGCAUUGGAUAAUCAAAAUUUUAAGUCUCUAUUUUCUUCAGCCAUGGUUUGAGAAGCAAAGAUCUCUAUGUACAGAAGAGAGUCCCUGAAUGUCUUAAAGAAGGCACAAAUGGAAGACUAUCCAUUUGCUCAGUGGCAGCAAAUCGAUCUAUUUGUUCUCCCACUCAGUUAUUUCCCUACCUCAAAUUCCUCCUGUAGCAACCAGACAUCUCUACCUGCUCCUUUUCACUCAAGAUGUUCUUGGUUCCUUGGGAUUCCUUCUGGGUCUCUGGGAGCCAGCUAUCCAGUGUUGUGGUCACGAGGACCACAGAGGUGAGGAAUCAGGAGGUUUGUAAAAAAAAAAAAAAAGAAUUACUAUGUAAUCCCAAAUUUACACUUCUAGUUCCACAGAUUACAGAAAGCAUAUGUUCAUGUAAAUACUUAUGCACCAACAAUGAUCAUGACUUAGUUGACUAUCUGUUAGCUGUUUGUCACUUGGUCAGCAUCUCGUGACUUUGCAGGCAUCUUGAGUUAAUUAUAUAAGCUCUCUGACUUACAGGUGUUCCACCGCUGCUAAUCAUGUUUUCUUUGUUAUCCCAGUGGCCACAAAAGCAGCUGCAGUGUUUCUGGUUAUCUCUUUGUUUACUACUGGAUGGUCUGGGGUCUCUUUCCUCAAAGGCUAGGGGGUUGUUAGAAGCCAUCCUUAUUUACAAAUUAGUCUAUUAUAAUUAGUUACAUUAGAGAUGAUGUAUUAAAAGUAGUUAUAUAAUCUGUAACAUUCACUAGCCUGUUCUUGCUUCCCGAAGGGGAAAGGUCUCAGAAGAGCUAGCCAGCCUUCGUCAGUGGCCUUGCUUCUUAGAGCCCCUCUCUCUGUUCUCCACUAUUCGGCUAUCUCAUAGCCAGUUGUAAAUGUCUUUGUCUCUUCUUGGUGCUUCUAGAUUUGCUAUUUGAACCCUUACAUUGCCUUUUAUCCUUAAUAUCCAUUUGUUCUGUAACAUACAGAAUAACUUAUAGUUUUCACAGUAGGCUCUUUUUCUUAUGGCCUACUAUGAGCUAACUCCUGCCUCAACAUAUAACGUAAUUUUUAGAAAAGUAUAUAAUUGUAUUCAACUGGAAAUUCAUGUUUUGAAUACUAAAUUAGAAAAGAAUUUGUGAAGCUUCAAGAUGUUUUUUAAAAAAGGUGUUGGUUGGUGGUGGCACACACCUUAUUAAAAAUACUCCCAUCACUCAGGAGGCAGAGGCAGGUGGAUCUCUGUGAGUUGGAGACCAGUCUCUCCUAUACAGCAAGUUUCAGGACAUCCAGAGCUACACAGAAAAAUCCUAUCUUGAAACUGCUGCCACCCCAAAACAAAAAGGAAAGAAACAUACAAAAUGAAAAGUAACAGUUGAGUUUUCUGAAUGUACCGCAUACAUGAGAUACAGAUAGUUUGAAUGUUAACUAUUGCUCAACUGGACCUGGGCGAACAUCCAUCAGGUUACCCACAGUGGGGUCCCCAUAUGGUUACACAUUGCAAUCUUCACAUUUAAUCCUUGUGUUAUCUUGAAUCUUAAAGAAUAGACUUUCUUACUUGCUCUGUUCAGCCUUCCAGUUGCAACUGUCCCCUUGAAGGGACAAAGCACACUUUCCAUAGAAAGGCCCUGAUUUUUAAUGUGUGUAUAUAUGCAAAGAGACACCAUUAAAAUCUGUUAACCAUACCUCAUGGAGGCCCCACUGACCAGAAAAUUACUAUGUAGCCAAAGAUGGCAUUGAUUUUGCCAUAAUCCUCUGUCUUCUGAAUAUUAGGAUUACAAGCAGGAGCUACCAUGCCUGCUUCUUACUGGCGUUUACCUUUCCCCAGACUCGUUGUCUUCCAAACUAGGCAUAUAGAAAGAGUGCUCCUAGGGACUUCUGGAGCGAUUGGCCAGCUCCAGACAUGGACAAUGCCUGUGCAGGGCCCCUGGACUCUGCCAAGUGCUCAGGAGAACUUGCAAGCGAUGCUGCUUCCUUGAACUAGUGGGUCUGUCUCAAAGAAGCGUGCAAGCUCUUAGGGAACUUUCCAGAGGAGGCCUCACUGACUGAGAAGAUGGUAGACUGGAAUCAAAGAGAGAGGUCAGCACUUAAGUGGGGUCACCUAGAAUCAUAGGAAUGUGGUUGGUAAACAUCCGAAGGAAGAGAAGAAAAAAAAUUCACAGAAAACAUAAGUCAAAAAGGACGGAGUGGGGCCCGUUAUUCUCUUUUGGGAGAGCUACUUCUGAAGGCUCUGGUCCUGCUUAGAAACACAGCCAGAAAUGGAAACUUCAGACCUUAAACAAGUAAAGAAUUAAAAAACUAAGUGCAGCUUAAAGCAGCUUCUAGUCUACAGGUAAAGAAAGAGAACUUUGAACUUUAACUACUGAGUAAACACCAGGAUGGACAAACAAUAGGAACAUCAGGUUACUUAUUAAUUUAUUAACAAACCACAGAGUAAGAAACAGGGCACAGUUGAUUUCUUUUUCUUUUCAUUUUUUUUUAAUUUCUAUUUUACACCAUGCUGGGAGUUGUGAAUGCUAGGAAAGGUCUCCACCACCAAGCUUUAUUCUGGGUCUUCCCUGGGUUUUGUGUCUUUACAAUGUAUGUUAUAACUUAAAUAACAAAUGAGAAGCUGUUCCAAUUGACGAAAGUCACAGGACUAAUCACGUCUUCGCUUAAAUUAUAUUUGUCCUCGGACACUCUUGAAGUAUAUAGCUAUUUUGCUGCCUCUCAUCUUUAAGUUGUUAUUGUCUUUUUUUUUUUUUUCCUGGAGCUGAGGACCGAACCCAGGGCCUUGUGCUUGCUCGGCAAGUGCUCUACCACUGAGCUAAAUCCCCAACCCCCAUCUUUAAGUUGUAACUAAAUAUAAUGUAUAGAAAAUUAUGUGCUUGAAACCCUGACCUGUAGCUCUUUCCUUGACUAGAAUUUCCAAAGUUAUAACAUUAAUGUAGUAAAAUGUUUAAAUGGCACAUAAAUGUUCUCACAUGAAUAAUAAAAGUAGGCAUAAGUCCUUGGCACUUAUAAAAUGGCUUCAUAAAAUAAUCCAGGUCAGGCACGUGGCUCACGCCUCCAAUCCCAACAGUUAGGAGGCUGAAACAGAUCGCUGUGAGUUUAAGGUCAGCUUGUGUAGACAGCAACUUCCAGGCCACUCAGGACUACACAGUAAGAAAAUGUCUAAAACAGAGAGAAAGAAAAAAAAAUCCCGAAUCAGUUAAAGUAGGGAUUGUAAGGGUUAAAGUUAUUACAUAAAAUGUAAGCAGAUAAAGGGGUGAUUGUCCCACCGCUUCUACUUAGAAAGAUCAAUGCAUCUGCUCUUUAAAGCUUACCCAUGCAUUUCCCAACAACUGUGAAUUAAAGGACAUCUCUAUUAUAACCUUAAGGCUUUGUAUUGGCUGAGGUAGUGAUAGCAGUCAAUACUAUUACCAGUUCCAUUCACACGUCAUCAACAAUUCUUAUGACCCUCACAGACAUACCCAGUCAGUUUUGUUCAGCCCUCAUGUCAGCAGCCUUUCAGGCCAUUUCCAUGUCCAAAAGUACAUAACACAUCCUUUCUACCUACCUGUUUAGUAAACGCAAACAGCUCUGUACACACACACACACACACACACACACAUGUGCACAUUCAUGAGCAUGUGUAUUAACACUGUUCCUGGGAAGAUAUGAACAAAUGUUUAUUCACCCCGGAUUAUUACCCAACACAAAGUACAGAUACCACUAAAGUCCUACCUGCUGAAGGGUUGGGGAUUUAGCUCAGCGGUAGAGCGCUUGCCUAGCAGGCACAAGGCCCUGGGUUCGAUCCCCAGCUCCGGAAAAAAAAAACUAAAAAAAAAAAAAAAAAAAAAGUC